rnacentral:lncRNA from 1 species
GCCCUGCUUGAUUUCCUGUCCUGACUUCCUUUGAUGAUGGAUUGUGAUGUGGAAGUGGAAAGUGCUGUGGGUGAGGAUGACUGAAGAAGAGGAAGGUCAAGCCAGCACCGACCUCCACCAAGGACUCCGGACUGUGGACUGUUGACGUGGGAGAGACAGGCCCCGCUCAGCCUUGGUCUGGCUCUGGUCCACCGUGGGGAGGAAAUGGUUUUCACUAAAAAACAAAGUUGAAAAACAGUUUGCUGAAAGGGAAUGAAAGAGGAAAGGGGGAAGGAAGGGGAGGGGAGGGCCGGCUCAAACUGUCUGCUCAUCAGAAUCACCUGGGUACGCUGCUAAAAACACAGAUUCCAAAGUCUGUGCCAAGUCAGUAAAAUGUUAUUCUUGGUA